rnacentral:rRNA from 1 species
AUUGAACGCUGGCGGCAUGCUCUACACAUGCAAGUCGAACGGUAGAGGGGGCAACCCCUUGAGAGUGGCGAACGGGUGAGUAAUGCAUCGGAACGUGCCCAGUCGUGGGGGAUAACGCAGCGAAAGCUGUGCUAAUACCGCAUACGAUCUCUGGAUGAAAGCGGGGGACCGAAAGGCCUCGCGCGAUUGGAGCGGCCGAUGUCAGAUUAGGUAGUUGGUGGGGUAAAGGCUCACCAAGCCAACGAUCUGUAGCUGGUCUGAGAGGACGACCAGCCACGCUGGGACUGAGACACGGCCCAGACUCCUACGGGAGGCAGCAGUGGGGAAUUUUGGACAAUGGGCGCAAGCCUGAUCCAGCAAUGCCGCGUGCAGGAAGAAGGCCUUCGGGUUGUAAACUGCUUUUGUACGGAACGAAAAGGUCUGGGUUAAUACCCUGGGCACAUGACGGUACCGUAAGAAUAAGCACCGGCUAACUACGUGCCAGCCGCCGCGGUAA